rnacentral:lncRNA from 1 species
GUGAAAAGCAUAUUCUAUCACUACAACAAAAACGGUCUAUAGCGACACUUUUAAAUGUAGGUACAUGUCAAAAAAGUACUGCUAGUUAAAAUUACCGACACUUUUAAAAAGUGUUGCUAUAUGUGGGGUCGCUAGGUAUAUAGUGACAGCUAAAAAGUGUCGCUACAAUCUAAAAGAGUGCUGCUAAUUUACCAACACUUAUUUAAGCAUUUAGCAACCGCCGAAACUCUAUCUCGUUGGCUGCGGUGGCAGAGGAGGACGACAGGAAAGGCUCUUCGUCUAGAAUUUCAGUAAAUUGAGUAAAGAGAGAAGAAAAGAUUUAAUUGAUUUUUCUUUUUUUUUUCUUUUCUGUUUGUAAUCGGGCCAAAUGGACUGGAUUUGGUGGAUUGAGUAGAGUAAUCUUUUAUUUUUGGUUGGAUUGGGCUUUAUAUUUAGGCAUUAGUAGAUGUUUUUUAAAGUUUUAGCAUAAAUGGGACACUUACUCAAAAGUGUCCCAAACAUGUGUCUCUAUAACCUAAUUCUGUUGUAGUGUAUAUUAUAUAAAAAAAAAAUCUUUAAAAUAUC